AUUGAACGCUGGCGGCAGGCCUAACACAUGCAAGUCGAACGGUAACAGGAAACAGCUUGCUGUUUCGCUGACGAGUGGCGGACGGGUGAGUAAUGUCUGGGAGACUGCCUGAUGGAGGGGGAUAACUACUGGAAACGGUAGCUAAUACCGCAUAACGUCGCAAGACCAAAGAGGGGGACCUUCGGGCCUCUUGCCAUCGGAUGUGCCCAGAUGGGAUUAGCUAGUAGGUGGGGUAACGGCUCACCUAGGCGACGAUCCCUAGCUGGUCUGAGAGGAUGACCAGCCACACUGGAACUGAGACACGGUCCAGACUCCUACGGGAGGCAGCAGUGGGGAAUAUUGCACAAUGGGCGCAAGCCUGAUGCAGCCAUGCCGCGUGUAUGAAGAAGGCCUUCGGGUUGUAAAGUACUUUCAGCGGGGAGGAAGGGAGUAAAGUUAAUACCUUUGUUCAUUGACGUUACCCGCAGAAGAAGCACCGGCUAACUCCGUGCCAGCCGCCGCCGUAA
rnacentral:rRNA from 1 species